GACGAACGCUGGCGGCGUGCUUAACACAUGCAAGUCGAACGGAAAGGCCCUGCUUUUGUGGGGUGCUCGAGUGGCGAACGGGUGAGUAACACGUGAGUAACCUGCCCUUGUCUUUGGGAUAACUUCAGGAAACUGGGGCUAAUACCAGAUAGGAGCUCCUGCUGCAUGGUGGGGAUUGGAAAGUUUCGGCGGUUUGGGCUGGACUCGCGGCUUAUCAGCUUGUUGGUGGGGUAGUGGCUUACCAAGGCUUUGACGGGUAGCCGGCCUGAGAGCGUGACCGGCCACAUUGCGACUGAGAUACGGCCCAGACGGCUACGGGAGGCAGCAGGGGGGAAUAUUGCACAAUGGGCGGACGCCUGAUGCAGCAACGCCGCGUGCGGGAUGACGGCCUUCGGGUUGUGAACCGCUUUCGCCUGUGCCGAAGCGUGAGUGACGGUAAUGGGUCAAGAAGCACCGGCUAACUACGUG
rnacentral:rRNA from 1 species